rnacentral:rRNA from 2 species
UGAGGAAUAUUGGUCAAUGGGCGAGAGCCUGAACCAGCCAAGUAGCGUGAAGGAUGACUGCCCUAUGGGUUGUAAACUUCUUUUAUAAGGGAAUAAAGUGGAGGACGUGUCCUCCUUUGUAUGUACCUUACGAAUAAGGAUCGGCUAACUCCGUGCCAGCAGCCGCGGUAAUACGGAGGAUCCAAGCGUUAUCCGGAUUUAUUGGGUUUAAAGGGAGCGUAGGUGGACUAGUAAGUCAGUUGUGAAAGUUUGCGGCUCAACCGUAAAAUUGCAGUUGAUACUGUUAGUCUUGAGUACAGUAGAGGUGGGCGGAAUUCGUGGUGUAGCGGUGAAAUGCUUAGAUAUCACGAAGAACUCCGAUUGCGAAGGCAGCUCACUAGACUGGCACUGACACUGAGGCUCGAAAGUGUGGGUAUCAAACAGG